UGUGGCCUAUGCCUUUCUGCCCGACUCCCACAGCUACACCAUGCAGGAAUUCGCCCUGCGUUACUUCCGGAGGUCCCAAGCCUUGCUGGGCCAGACUGAUGGAGGUGCCACAGGAAAGGACACGGACAGCCUGGUGCAGUACACCAAGGUGGGAGAGAGGCAGGGAGGGGUCUGGCCCGUAGAUCUGCCCUCUGACCCCCACGGCCCCCCAGACCCAUGGCCUCCUCCGUUUGACCACAGGCUCCCAUCCAGGAGUCGCUCCUCAGCCUCAGUGAUGAUGUGAGCAAACUGGCUGUAGCCAGCUUCCUGGGUGAGUGGCCACAGGCAUCCUGGGUCCCCAUGUCUGCAGUGCCAUGAACCUGGGUGUCUGGUCCCCUUAUCUCCUUGAGCUCUGCCUGGCUCUGUCCCAGUCUGCCAACUCCGGGAAGCUCACUGGUGGUUCCUGGACCCCAGGGCCCUCACCCGCUUCUACUCCCACUCAAGGGUUGUGGGUUGUGUGGAGUCUGGGGUUGGAAGGCAGUCCAUGGGUCCAGAGGAAGCUAUGUGCUGUGUGGGGCCUUGGAUA
rnacentral:sRNA from 1 species